rnacentral:rRNA from 1 species
UACGUAGGGAGCGAGCGUUAUCCGGAAUUAUUGGGUGUAAAGGGUGCGUAGGCGGGAAAACAAGUUAGUUGUGAAAUCCCUCGGCUUAACUGAGGAACUGCAACUAAAACUAUUUUUCUUGAGUGCAGGAGAGGUAAGUGGAAUUCCUAGUGUAGCGGUGAAAUGCGUAGAUAUUAGGAGGAACACCAGUGGCAAAGGCGACUUACUGGACUGUAACUGACGUUGAGGCACGAAAGUGCGGGGAGCAAACAGG